AAUAGAUACCCGGGUAGUCCACGCCGUAAACGAUGAGUGCUAAGUGUUAGAGGGUUUCCGCCCUUUAGUGCUGCAGCUAACGCAUUAAGCACUCCGCCUGGGGAGUACGGUCGCAAGACUGAAACUCAAAGGAAUUGACGGGGGCCCGCACAAGCGGUGGAGCAUGUGGUUUAAUUCGAAGCAACGCGAAGAACCUUACCAGGUCUUGACAUCCUCUGACAACUCUAGAGAUAGAGCGUUCCCCUUCGGGGGACAGAGUGACAGGUGGUGCAUGGUUGUCGUCAGCUCGUGUCGUGAGAUGUUGGGUUAAGUCCCGCAACGAGCGCAACCCUUGAUCUUAGUUGCCAGCAUUUAGUUGGGCACUCUAAGGUGACUGCCGGUGACAAACCGGAGGAAGGUGGGGAUGACGUCAAAUCAUCAUGCCCCUUAUGACCUGGGCUACACACGUGCUACAAUGGAUGGUACAAAGGGCUGCAAGACCGCGAGGUCAGGCCAAUCCCAUAAAACCAUUCUCAGUUCGGAUUGUAGG
rnacentral:rRNA from 1 species